AGAUGUCAGCCAACGAACUGCGAGAUCUUGCAAGUAUGUCACUACCAGGAAUCCAGAAUGAUCUUUCGAACACUGUAUCACUGAUGCAAGUUCGCCAGUAGAGAGGCCAAAAACUCCACCACUGGACUGGAGUAGCAUUCACUGGAGAAAGAAUUGCUGGUGGAAAAAACAGAAGUCUAGGGAGAUGGAGGAAAUGUGAAAAGAAGUUGGGGAAAAAGAGGAAGAGAAGGACGGAGGAAUAGAUUGGAUGAAGUUGAACCUUGUGGAAAGCUAGAAAGUGACUGCAGAUAAAGUGGAGGAAAGCAAAGACCUCCAAAAGAGAGGACUGAAUACAGUGGAGAAGAUUACAUCAGAAAUGAGGAAUGCACUACAUGAGAAGGGAACAGCUCAUGGAUUAUUCUGUGUUUCAACAUCAGCCCGGUGAGAACAAAAAGGUUCAAAAUGUUUCUGAGUGUUUGAAAGUGAAAACAGUAAUGGUUGGAAGUGCUACAAGGCUAAAAACAUAAAUUUACUUAUCAAGGA